UGGAAGUAAAAGUCGUAACAAGGUCUCCGUUGGUGAACCAGCGGAGGGAUCAUUACCGAGUUUACAACUCCCAAACCCCUGUGAACAUACCACUUGUUGCCUCGGCGGAUCAGCCCGCUCCCGGUAAAACGGGACGGCCCGCCAGAGGACCCCUAAACUCUGUUUCUAUAUGUAACUUCUGAGUAAAACCAUAAAUAAAUCAAAACUUUCAACAACGGAUCUCUUGGUUCUGGCAUCGAUGAAGAACGCAGCAAAAUGCGAUAAGUAAUGUGAAUUGCAGAAUUCAGUGAAUCAUCGAAUCUUUGAACGCACAUUGCGCCCGCCAGUAUUCUGGCGGGCAUGCCUGUUCGAGCGUCAUUUCAACCCUCAAGCACAGCUUGGUGUUGGGACUCGCGUUAAUUCGCGUUCCCCAAAUUGAUUGGCGGUCACGUCGAGCUUCCAUAGCGUAGUAGUAAAACCCUCGUUACUGGUAAUCGUCGCGGCCACGCCGUUAAACCCCAACUUCUGAAUGUUGACCUCGGAUCAGGUAGGAAUACCCGCUGAACUUAAGCAUAUCAAU
rnacentral:rRNA from 1 species